UACGAAGGGUGCAAGCGUUAAUCGGAAUUACUGGGCGUAAAGCGUGCGUAGGCGGUUUGUUAAGUCUGUUGUGAAAUCCCCGGGCUCAACCUGGGGAAUGGCAAUGGAUACUGGGCAAGCUAGAGUGUGAUAGAGGAUGGUGGAAUUCCCCGGUGUAGCGGUGAAAAUGCGUAGAGAUCGGGAGGAACAUCAGUGGCGAAGGCGGCCAUCUGGAUCAACACUGACGCUGAGGCACGAAAGCGUGGGGAGCAAACAGG
rnacentral:rRNA from 1 species